rnacentral:rRNA from 1 species
UACGUAGGUGGCGAGCGUUGUCCGGAUUUACUGGGCGUAAAGGAUGCGUAGGCGGAUAUUUAAGUGAGAUGUGAAAUGCCCGAGCUUAACUUGGGUGCUGCAUUUCAAACUGGAUAUCUAGAGUGUGGGAGAGGAGAAUGGAAUUCCUAGUGUAGCGGUGAAAUGCGUAGAGAUUAGGAAGAACACCAGUGGCGAAGGCGAUUCUCUGGACCAUAACUGACGCUGAGGCAUGAAAGCGUGGGUAGCAAACAGG